rnacentral:lncRNA from 1 species
AGGAAGACGAUGUGGGGGCUAUUUCUCUAGGUUUGAAGACUGCGAUUUCCUCUCGGCAGAGGUGUGGCAUGGUCGAAUUUUCAAAGAGUGAGACUAAUCAAGGUUACUGCUCCAUAGCCCAUUGUGCAAACAAGUUCGAAGAUGCAUUUCACUCUCCAACAAGCAUCACAAAGUAAGGAAUUUUAAAAAAAAAAAUCGAAGAGAAUCUGCUAGCUUGUCCAAGCUGACACGGUACGAUUCCC